rnacentral:rRNA from 1 species
GAUGAACGCUGGCGGCGUGCCUAAUACAUGCAAGUCGAGCGAAUGGAUUAAGAGCUUGCUCUUAUGAAGUUAGCGGCGGACGGGUGAGUAACACGUGGGUAACCUGCCCAUAAGACUGGGAUAACUCCGGGAAACCGGGGCUAAUACCGGAUAACAUUUUGAACCGCAUGGUUCGAAAUUGAAAGGCGGCUUCGGCUGUCACUUAUGGAUGGACCCGCGUCGCAUUAGCUAGUUGGUGAGGUAACGGCUCACCAAGGCAACGAUGCGUAGCCGAGCUGAGAGGGUGAUCGGCCACACUGGGACUGAGACACGGCCCAGAAUCCUACGGGAGGCAGCAGUAGGGAAUCAUCCGCAAUGGACGAAAGUCUGACGGAGCAACGCCGCGUGAGUGAUGAAGGCUUUCGGGUCGUAAAACUCUGUUGUUAGGGAAGAACAAGUGCUAGUUGAAUAAGCUGGCACCUUGACGGUACCUAACCAGAAAGCCACGGCUAACUACGUGCCAGCCGCCGCAGUAA